rnacentral:piRNA from 1 species
UCAUCGGUGUUGGUUUAGUCGCUAUGGGU